UUUCCCUCAGGAUAGCUGGCAUUCAAUUUUCACAGUUAUAUCCGGUAAAGCGAAUGUUUAGAGGCAUUGGGCGUAAAAUACGCUCAACCUAUUGACAAACUUUAAAUGAAAUAGUUUGCAAUGGUAGGUGUAUGGCGCCU
rnacentral:rRNA from 1 species